rnacentral:rRNA from 1 species
GUGGGGAAUAUUGGACAAUGGGCGCAAGCCUGAUCCAGCAAUGCCGCGUGGGUGAAGAAGGCCUUCGGGUUGUAAAGCCCUUUUGUACGGGAAGAAAUCAUCCGGGUUAAUACCCUGGGUGGAUGACGGUACCGUAAGAAUAAGCACCGGCUAACUUCGUGCCAGCAGCCGCGGUAAUACGAAGGGUGCAAGCGUUAAUCGGAAUUACUGGGCGUAAAGCGUGCGUAGGUGGUUGUUCAAGUCUGUCGUGAAAGCCCUGGGCUCAACCUGGGAAUGGCGAUGGAAACUGGGCGACUAGAGUGCGGUAGAGGAUGGCGGAAUUCCCGGUGUAGCGGUGAAAUGCGUAGAGAUCGGGAGGAACAUCCGUGGCGAAGGCGGCCAUCUGGACCAGCACUGACACUGAGGCACGAAAGCGUGGGGAGCAAACAGGAUUAGAUACCCCUGUAGUCC